rnacentral:rRNA from 1 species
UACAGGGGGUGCAAACGUUGCUCGGAAUCAUUGGGCGUAAAGCGCACGUAGGCGGUCUGUUAUGUCGGAUGUGAAAGCCCUUGGCUUAACUGAGGAAGUGCAUCCGAAACUGGCAGGCUAGAGUACUAAAGAGGGUCGCGGAAUUCCCGGUGUAGAGGUGAAAUUCGUAGAUAUCUGAAGGAACAUCAGUGGCGAAAGCGACUUCCUGGACCAAUACUGACGCUCAUGUGCGAAAGCGUGGGGAGCAAACAGG